AGUGAACGCUGGCGGUAGGCCUAACACAUGCAAGUCGAACGGCAGCACAGUAAGAGCUUGCUCUUACGGGUGGCGAGUGGCGGACGGGUGAGGAAUACAUCGGAAUCUACUUUUUCGUGGGGGAUAACGUAGGGAAACUUACGCUAAUACCGCAUACGACCUACGGGUGAAAGCAGGGGAUCUUCGGACCUUGCGCGAUUGAAUGAGCCGAUGUCGGAUUAGCUAGUUGGCGGGGUAAAGGCCCACCAAGGCGACGAUCCGUAGCUGGUCUGAGAGGAUGAUCAGCCACACUGGAACUGAGAAACGGUCCAGACUCCUACGGGAGGCAGCAGUGGGGAAUAUUGGACAAUGGGCGAAAGCCUGAUCCAGCCAUACCGCGUGGGUGAAGAAGGCCUUCGGGUUGUAAAGCCCUUUUGUUGGGAAAGAAAAGCAGCAGGUUAAUACCCCGCUGUUCUGACGGUACCCAAAGAAUAAGCACCGGCUAACUUCGUG
rnacentral:rRNA from 1 species